UUGGAGGGCAAGUCUGGUGCCAGCAGCCGCGGUAAUUCCAGCUCCAAUAGCGUAUAUUAAAGUUGUUGCAGUUAAAAAGCUCGUAGUUGAAUUUCGGGAUCAGAGUGUCGGUCGUGCCUCGGUACGCACUGGUAUUAUUGGUUCCUACCUUCUGAAGAACCGCGAUGUCAUUAAUUUGGUGUCGUGGGGAAUCAGGACUGUUACUUUGAAAAAAUUAGAGUGUUUAAAGCAGGCUUACGCUUGAAUACAUUAGCAUGGAAUAAUGAAAUAGGACGUUUGAUUCUAUUUUGUUGGUUUCUAGGAUCGACGUAAUGAUUAAUAGGGAUAGUUGGGGGCAUUAGUAUUCAAUUGUCAGAGGUGAAAUUCUUGGAUUUAUUGAAGACUAACUACUGCGAAAGCAUUUGCCAAGGAUGUUUUCAUUAAUCAAGAACGAAAGUUAGGGGAUCGAAGACGAUCAGGUACCGUCGUAGUCUUAACCAUAAACUAUGCCGACUAGGGAUCGGAUGAUGUUAAUUUUUUAAUGACUCAUUCGGCGCCUUACGGGAAACCAAAGUGUUUGGGUUC
rnacentral:rRNA from 1 species